CAGUCCCCCACAGUUGGCACCAAGGAUCCAGGACGSUUUAGGGUGGACAGGAGAGGUCCAGAGAGAAAGAGCGAGAGAAGGAUAAGGUUAGUUCUAUGAUAAGGAAGGAAGGAACAUCAGAUCCUUUCCUCCCCAAGUUCAACUUUAGAACCCUUUCCCAGGGGAUUAACGAGUGUGGAGAGAGAGAGAAACAAUAUGACAAGAAAAGGAACAUGAAAGAAAUCGUCAUUAAACGCACUUGAAGUUAUCUCUUCCUUCUUGCACCUCUAAUUUCAUCUGAAACCCACUCCAAGUUCCCCCAAGGACUUCUCUCUCUGUUUCAAGAGAGACAGAAUCAGAAGAGUCUAUUCCUCCUGAUUCCCACCCUAGUGGGAAUAAAAACAGGAUUCCACUCUUUCUUUCUGUUCCUCCUCUCAUCCCUCAUUCCCCUCCUCCUCUCCGUCAUGACGUUGCUGGCCUCUGAGAGGUCUCUUCUCAUCCGGAACAAAUUCCGCUCAGUCUUGCAGUUGAGGAUUCAGAACCGAAGGCAAAAUGAAAUCAACUCUGGGUUGAAAACGACUUGUUCCUCUCGRAAAGGAGAGAAAGACCAGAGUAAAGCUCUGGUAAGUAGCUCACUGUUUGUCUCAACAUAAAGAAGAGACUUGUCUCACUGUUUGUCUCAACAUAAAGAAGAGACUUGUUGUCUCACUGUUUGUCUCAACAUAAAGAAGAGACUUGUCUCA